rnacentral:tRNA from 1 species
GCCCCUGUAGCUCAGAGGAUAGAGCAGUGGUUUCCUAAACCAUGUGCCGUGGGUUCGACUCCCGCCAGGGGCG